GAGCGCGGGAGUUCCGCGGUCCGGAGGCGGAGCCACCUUCAUGUUGCCGCCCCUCCCGUCUGCUCGCUGAGCUGGCUAGAAAUUUAGAAGAAAGAAAGGAAGCUGAAAUCUAAGUGCUUGCAGUGGAAGAUAAAAACAAGAAAUCCUGUCACCAUAUGGUUCUCGAUUCAUAAUAGGACAUAAGUGGCUUCUUGUGGCUAUGAAAGUGCCAUAUCCAAGAUCUCGGCUGAGAAGGAAAACUUCUAAUAAUAAAAGCAAGACACUUAAAGAAAGUGAGCAAGGCUCUUUUCAAUUCCAAAUUUGAA